AUGCGCCUGUAGGUGUAUAAUUGUCAGAAGCGGCUUUGCAUAUGUUGGUAAAUCUAUAAACAUGGAGUAUAAUUAUCCAUCGUUAACAUAUGCUUAUGUUCUGCGUAAGCACAUAUUGUUUCCCCACGAAUGCAGGCUGCCAAGUCGCGACCCGGACACCGUGACACCAACCAUCACUGAUGUCACAGAAGGGGUCCAUUCGUCGUCCUGGAGGGGAGGGGCAGCCGGGACGGUGGCAAAUCUCCCACCAGGCGCCCUGGGGCCCUGCAGGUCCGGAGGGACAGAGGGCAGGACUUGAAUGCUGUUGGGUGAGACGAUGUUCGGAGCUGUGGCAGCCAUAUUGCAACCCUGAGGCAAGAAGCUAAGGAAGAAGGCCACCACAGCUGAAGAUGAUAAAUAGGAAAGAGGGAAAGACUCUGGCUCAUUAGCAUCACCGAGCGUCGGACCAACCCCGGAACUGCCUCCUUCCAGAAUCUUCUUAUGCACGAUCAUUACACGUCUCAGGUGACUGAGGCAUUGUUGUUGGAUUUUCUGUUACAAGGUGCCCAGUGCAUUCUAGUCAAGGGAAGCACCUGCUAUGUGCCCGGCACCACAUCUCUCACAAGAGUCAUGGUCAUUCGACUACACCCCAUCUCUGUCAUCAAACCCUGCGGUCCUAAAGGCAAAGGUUGUAUCUCGUAGGUCUCUGUAACCCCAGACCUUGUUACAGAUCAUGACCCACAGUGAGCCCCAACUCCACAAUGCGAAUAACAUGAACGAAUUCAUGAAUUCAAAUGCAGUUCUUGGCGAACUAUGAAGGGCUGGGCCCAAAUGCAGGAUUCAGAUCCGAAAGGUGGGUGGCAAUGGGGGACGGAAGAGGGGCCGGGUGGGGAGCGGGGGUCAGCAGAAAAGCGACAUCGGGGGUGAAGCACCGCCAUCCCCCCAGAAGCUCCCCGUCUCUCCGCCCGGCCGCACGGCACACGACACCGGGUCUGUGAAUCCCCCUGCCUACCCAGUGCCCUGUCUUCCAUCCCCCGGGCUGCUGGAGCCUCUGACAGCGAGCGCCCCUCCCUAGACAGACCCCACGAGGCCCGCUUUGUGCUCUGUCAUUUUGCCCCUAAAAACUGUCCCGAGGAACCAAGCGGUCGUCGGCACCCCAGCUGCGCUCCUUUGCUGCGUUAUCCCGUGAGAGCUGGAGGACGGGGCACCCGACGAGGAGGCGGUGGGCCGUUGAGGUUGACGGGGAAUAAGGACCAAACAUCCAGGGUGCAUCAUUUCAAGUGAAUUUUGCCAUCAGAGUAAGAGAUCUGUCUUCCCCCAAAGUGCUUGACUUUGGGAGCCGGCUUCAAGAGAUUUGACAGAAUCCAUUUAUCCAGGCGACAACGGAUCAAGGUAUUAAACAAAGUGCAUUCCACCAGGAGAGCUCUGUUAACCACCUGACGCAAAGGCGCUCCGUCCAGAGUUGAGCGUCCGGACUCACCCUUCCUUCUUUCCUACUUGGCUUCCUACGCUGUUGAGAGGCACUGCCGGGCCAAGGGGACAGCCACGAGGAGGAAGCCAGCUCCGGUGACAGACUCUGCUCCUGAUCCAUGACGGAUCCUCGAUCCUCCUCGUUAGGACUAAUUAGCUGCCACAUAAACUGUCGCACUGGGUAAUGACGUGUCUGGAAAAACACUCCCAGGAGGAGUGCUGAGGAGGCCCAGCGGGUCACAGGAGGUCCCCACCUUGGCCCUGGGACCAUCCAUGUAGGCCAGGGAGGCUCAUCCGCAGGAUGGCGACUUUAUAGAGUCAAGCAAACCGAGGUCCCUCUCCUGGCUGCGGCCAGGUCCUAGCCCUGGGAAUCCGGGCUUAAUCUGGCUGAGCCUGUCUCCUCGGCUGGAAAAGAAGCAUCUCCCUCCGAACGUCAAAGGGGGAAUGAGAGACGAUGCCUCAGAGGGUGCUAUCCUGCCCUGUGAGCCGGUACCCGGCAAACCAGCCACCCUCUGCUGCCUCCCUCACCCCUUCCCACC